rnacentral:tRNA from 1 species
GUCUUCGUGGUGUAAUGGUCAGCACACUGAGACGGUAUUCAGAGGUCCGUGGUUCGAUUCCCGGCGAAGGAA